rnacentral:rRNA from 1 species
AUUGAACGCUGGCGGCAGGCCUAACACAUGCAAGUCGAACGGAGUGGCGGACGGGUGCGUAAUGUCUGGGAAACUGCCCGACGGAGGGGGAUAACAACUGGAAACGGUAGCUAAAACCGCAUACCAUCGGAUGUGUCCAGAUGGGAUUAGCUUGUGGGUGAGGUAACGGCCUACCAAGGCGACGAUCCGUAACUGGUCUGAGAGGAUGAUCAGUCACACUGGAACUGAGACACGGUCCAGACUCCUACGGGAGGCAGCAGUGGGGACUAUUGGACAAUGGGCGAAAGCCUGAUCCAGCCAUGCCGCGUGUGUGAAGAAGGUCUUCGGAUUGUAAAGCACUUUCAGUUGGGAGGCGUUACCAACAGAAUAAGCACCGGCUAACUUCGUGCCAGCAGCCGCGGUAAUAC